CCUCCCCUCUUGUACGCCUCACAUGUGCAGAACCAUCUAGGGCAAAACCACACGCGCACAUGCCACCGCCACCGCCGCCCAUCCUCUCCCCCCGGCCCUCCAUCUCCAGCCAAGUCCUCUCUUUCGUGCCAGGGGCCUCCUCUAGUUUGAUGCAUCAUCGUGGGACGAGUCGUGGCGACGGUGACAGCGGCCGGCAUGCUGUGGGGCUACCUGGUGGGGGCGGCAGUGCUUGACCGCUCGUGGCAUGUGCUUGCGACAGCCGCUAAUGGUAGAGCACAAGACCUGCAGUGGGUAACCAUCUGCAAGAUCAACAUGAUCGUUCACGUGGUCGUCGCUGUCGCGAGAUUCAUUAUCAAGAUCCAUGUCGGCUCAUCUAACUCUGGCUUCACCCUCCUCCCGUUCCUCUUCGAAUUCGUGUGUUGAUUGAACCAGAAAUUAAGUUUGUCUAUUUCUGAACACCUAAUAUUUAUCUCUUGAGUUCACGUGCAAUGCAAUAUUUUAUUUAUGAGUUCUGAACCUGAAUUUUGUGCAUACAGCUGCAUACUUGCAUAUACUGUAGUGAACCACGCACAUUACUGGGAGAGGAGGGGAAGGAGAGGAUGCAUCCCGAAGACAGAGGCCGAGAAGCUUGCGGAGGCGGGGAGAUCGGGUACAAGGGCCUCCAUCUUCCUAGAUCCCGCCGUUCCGUGACGAACAUAUCCCUUGACGCCGAACGCUGCAGUUUGUGGUACACUCACAAUUCCAAACGAUAGGGAUAUCAUAAUUGCAAGUAAUAGUUGAAGGAAACCAUGUUCCAGCGGAUAAAAGUCUACAUAAGCUGGACUGAUGUUGUUAUUCCAGUCUUGAUUUUGUUUCUGCUGGCUUGACAGAUUAACUCCUUGGUGUACCAUAUAGGCAAGGGACGUAGGUAGUUGUCUUCCAAAUUCUGACAGUUACUCUGGGUUUUAAGGCUUGUUCGGUGUGGCAUGGUGCUACUAACUCCUGCAAUGGAUGCACAUGUAUCAUUCUGUACUGGGUACGUUCUUGGCAUCUGGUUGUGCUUUUGCUCUAUGGUAAAUG